GGCUUGUGGCAGCCAAGCGU
rnacentral:snRNA from 1 species